rnacentral:lncRNA from 1 species
UUCACUUCAUAGACUUAAUAGGAUUAGUACAAGUACAAACAUAGGUGUCCUGAGAUGUCAUUAGAACUCCUUCUGGUGAAGUAAAAGUAAGUGCAGUGUCAACCUUAUACAUUCAUUAAUGUAAUAACUAGAUCAAUUUUCUCUAUUUUAUGUUUUUACACUCUGAGUAUGUUUAGCAAAAGAGAUAAGAGAGAAGAAAUAUAGCGAUAAGAUUUAUAAAAUGUUACAUUUUAUUCAUUCUCUCUCUAUCUAUCUAUUGAAAAUUUCAAGUCAUUGGAGUGUUUUUCUUUCCCUUAUAUUGUAAAUUUUGUGCAUAUCAUUCUAAUCACACAAAAAAUUCCAGACCAAAAGAUUUGGAUAAACUGCAAAAUAUUAGUCAUCACAGUCGCAACAUGGAAACAACAUCUUCCUCCAUCGGUGCUUUCUUGAUUGACUUUUAUCAGCUUCCAUCAUUCUCACCGGGCUUCCACUCCAUUCCACAGGUAAUCUGUUAUUCAUUCACAAGCUUAACUACUUAUAACAAUUUAUUUCGAAUAUUGAAACAUAAAUGACAGAAUUGUAACUAACUUAUAACUUGUUAGGGUUUAAACUCGGGUACUUCUUAUCAGUUCGACUUUCAGUGAAACUCAUUAACCACUGCAGUUCAAAGAUUGCGCGCAAGAUAUUUACUAGUGUAUAAUUAAACAAGAACAAAGUAACUUACACGGGAAAAGAAAAUGAGUGUGAACUGCUUAUGCUAUCAUUAGAUUGAUGAGAGGCAAUGCUAGAGGUGUUUGCAUGACAAGUACAUGAUGUUUGAUCAGAUUGAGAGUCCGAGGCACUAUUUGAAGUCUCUUGAUGAUCAUCAACUUGUUUGUUGUCUGAACUUGUUAUACUUUGUAAGUAACUUAUAUCAGGUCUAUACAUGUUUGAGUCAGUUACUUGUAAACACUCUCUGCUAUGUGGAAACUCCACUCUGCUUCCACUUGUUCUCUGCCAAUUCUCAAAGGACCUAGAAAAGUUUCUUUCCCUUUGGAAAGCCUGAAAAUUGUAAAAGAUAAAAUGGGUCAACAAAUUUAGAGGUAGCAUACUUUGGAUUUAAUUUCAAUGUGUUCCACUGAGGUAACAAUAUUAUAUCUAUUUUGAUAUUUUUGAAUGAGCUUCUAACACUUGACGUGGGAGCCUUAAAUUCUAAGUGCAAGUUGUGCUACUAAAUUUUUAUGUACUUCACCUUUUGUGAUAGUGUAGAUGGCAG